rnacentral:rRNA from 1 species
AGCGAACGCUGGCGGCAGGCCUAACACAUGCGAGUCGAACGAACCUUUCGGGGUUAGUGGCGGACGGGGGAGGAACACGUGGGAACGUGCCCUUAGGUUCGGAAUAACUCAGGGAAACUUGUGCUAAUACCGAAUGUGCCCUUCGGGGGAAAGAUUUAUCGCCUUUAGAGCGGCCCGCGUCUGGUUAGCUAGUUGGGUGAGGUAAUGGCUCACCAAGGCGACGAUCAGUAGCUGGUCUGAGAGGAGGAUCCGCCACAUUGGGACUGCGACACGGCCCCCACUCCUACGCGACGGAGCAGUGGGGAAUCUUGCGCAAUGGGCGAAAGUCUGACGCAGCCAUGCCGCGUGAAUGAUGCAGGUCUUAGGAUUGUAAAAUUCUUUCACCGGGGACGAUAAUGACGGUACCCGGAGAAGAAGCCCCGGCUAACUUCGUG